rnacentral:rRNA from 1 species
AGUCGAGCGAGAAGGGUAGCAAUACCUGAGUAAAGCGGCGCACGGGUGAGUAACACGUGGAUAACCUGCCUCAAAGUGGGGAAUAACACCGGGAAACCGGUGCUAAUACCGCAUAUUCUGACGAGAUCUGUGGAUUUUGCCAGGAAAGGAGCAAUUCGCUAUGAGAGGGGUCCGCGGCUGAUUAGCUAGUUGGUGAGGUAAUGGCUCACCAAGGCCACGAUCAGUAGCCGGUCUGAGAGGACGGUCGGCCACACUGGAACUGAGACACGGUCCAGACUCCUACGGGAGGCAGCAGUGGGGAAUUUUUCGCAAUGGGGGCAACCCUGACGAAGCAAUGCCGCGUGGAUGAUGAAGUAUCUCGGUACGUAAAAUCCUUUCGACGGGGACGAAACCGCAAGGUUGACGGUACCCGUAGAAGAAGCCCCGGCUAACUCCGUGCCAGCAGCCGCGGUAAUACGGGGGGGGCAAGCGUUGUUCGGAAUUACUGGGCGUAAAGGGUGCGUAGGCGGCUUUCUAAGUCGGAUGUGAAAACUCUGGGCUCAACCCAGAGACUGCAUCUGAAACUGGAGAGCUAGGGUUCUGGAGGGGAAAGCGGAAUUCCUGGUGUAGCGGUGAAAUGCGUAGAUAUCAGGAGGAACACCGGUGGCGAAGGCGGCUUUCUGGACAGAUACCGACGCUGAGGCACGAAAGCUAGGGGAGCAAACAGGAUUAGAUACCCUGGUAGUCCUAGCCCUAAACGAUGGAUACUUGCUGU